AUUGAACGCUGGCGGCAGGCCUAACACAUGCAAGUCGAGCGGAUGAAGGGAGCUUGCUCCUGGAUUCAGCGGCGGACGGGUGUGUAAUGCCUAGGAAUCUGCCUGGUAGUGGGGGAUAACGUCCGGAAACGGGCGCUAAUACUGCAUACGACCUGAGGGUGAAAGUGGGGGAUCUUUGGACCUCUCGCUAUCAGAUGAGCCUAGGUCGGAUUAGCUAGUUGGUGGGGUAAAGGCCUACCAAGGCGACGAUCCGUAACUGGUCUGAGAGGAUGAUCAGUCACACUGGAACUGAGACACGGUCCAGACUCCUACGGGAGGCAGCAGUGGGGAAUAUUGGACAAUGGGCGAAAGCCUGAUCCAGCCAUGCCGCGUGUGUGAAGAAGGUCUUCGGAUUGUAAAGCACUUUAAGUUGGGAGGAAGGGCAGUAAGUUAAUACCUUGCUGUUUUGACGGUACCAACAGAAUAAGCACCGGCUAACUUCGUG
rnacentral:rRNA from 1 species